AUUUUACAAUUUUUUUGUAGAGACAGAGUCUCACUAUGUUGCCUAGGCUGGCCUUGAACUCCUGGGGUCAAGCAAUCCUCCCACCUCAGGCUCCCAAAGUGCUGGUAUUACAGAUGGAGUCUUGCUCUGUCCCCAGGCUGGAGUGCCCUGGCGCGAUCUCAACUCACUACAACCUCUGCCUCCCGGGUUCAAGAAAUCCUCUUACCACAGCCUCCUGAGUAGCUGAGAUUACAGGCAUGCAUCACCAUGCCAGGCUAAUUUUUCUAUUUUUGGUACAAAUGGGGUUUCACCAUGUUGGCCAGGCUUGUCUCGAAUUCCUGGCCUCAAGUGAUUUAGCCUCGCGGCGUCCCACAGUGCUGGGAUUACAGGCAGGAGCCACCACACCUGGCCUAGGGCACGUCCUUUCUAUAUAAAUUUUAGAAUGAGCUUAUCUAUAUCUACAAAAAAGCCUUGCUGAGAUUUUAAUAGGAAUUGCCUUAAACCUACAGAUUGAUUUGGAGAGAACUGAUAUCUUUACUAUGUUGAAUCUUCCAAUUCAUGAACAUAAGAUAUUUUUCCACUUAUUUAAGC
rnacentral:lncRNA from 1 species